rnacentral:sRNA from 1 species
GCCGGGCGAGAUGGUGCACGCCUGUAAUCCCAGCAACUCAGGAGGCUGAGGUAGGAGGAUUGAGAAUUCAACACCAGCCUCAG